rnacentral:rRNA from 1 species
UGGGGAAUAUUGCACAAUGGGCGCAAGCCUGAUGCAGCCAUGCCGCGUGUAUGAAGAAGGCCUUCGGGUUGUAAAGUACUUUCAGCGAGGAGGAAGGCGUUGUGGUUAAUAACCGCAACGAUUGACGUUACUCGCAGAAGAAGCACCGACUAACUCCGUGCCAGCAGCCGCGGUAAUACGGAGGGUGCAAGCGUUAAUCGGAAUUACUGGGCGUAAAGCGCACGCAGGCGGUCUGUCAAGUCGGAUGUGAAAUCCCCGGGCUCAACCUGGGAACUGCAUCCGAAACUGGCAGGCUAGAGUCUUGUAGAGGGGGGUAGAAUUCCAGGUGUAGCGGUGAAAUGCGUAGAGAUCUGGAGGAAUACCGGUGGCGAAGGCGGCCCCCUGGACAAAGACUGACGCUCAGGUGCGAAAGCGUGGGGAGCAAACA